GGGCCCAUAGCUCAUCUGGUUAGAGCGCCACAUUUGCAAUGUGGAGGUAAGGAGUUCGAGUCUCCUUGGGUCCA
rnacentral:tRNA from 1 species